rnacentral:rRNA from 1 species
UACGUAGGGCGCAAGCGUUAUCCGGAAUUAUUGGGCGUAAAGAGCUCGUAGGCGGUUUGUCGCGUCUGCCGUGAAAGUCCGGGGCUCAACUCCGGAUCUGCGGUGGGUACGGGCAGACUAGAGUGAUGUAGGGGAGACUGGAAUUCCUGGUGUAGCGGUGAAAUGCGCAGAUAUCAGGAGGAACACCGAUGGCGAAGGCAGGUCUCUGGGCAUUAACUGACGCUGAGGAGCGAAAGCAUGGGGA